UCUGAGCAGCUCUUCGACCGCUGGAGGGGCACCAACAUGGGGCUGGCUUGAGAAAUUGAGCCCACUCGACUCCCAAAGAGCCAGGUCCUAUAAAGGAAGUAAAACGUGAACGGGAAUAAUACGGUGACGGCAGCGCACGGAAUAUCGGCGAGUGAAAUACGGAUCUGACGUCUCUGGAACGCGAGGCGCACCUUCGGAACACCACGUGUGUAAACGGUGCGCUUCCAAAAGUCAGAUCCAUCACCUCUGCCGAGGGGGUCCCUCCGCACUGACACGCGCACACACCAAUUCAACCGCCCGAAAGCGAUCGCGUCCUUCAUUCGCUGCAGCCAGAGCCCUCCUCGGCGCGCUGACCUGACCCGCCGCGGCUAGUUUUAGGGCAGGAGGCGUUGAAUUAGCGGGACCCGGAUCCAACAUUUAAUUAAAUUGAUUACUUAAUUAAACAAAGGAGAGGAGUGCGUGUUUGUGAGCCCGAGGACCUGCAUUAGCAGCGCGCCCUCUCCGAAGAACGGCCGCCGGGAGCCCCGGCCGCUCCCUCGCCGCUGCCGCCCGGCCCUGGCCCCAUUACCUCCCGCUGCCCCCCUCCCGGCUCCCGGCGGUGUGAAGCCGGGCCGAGCUCCACGCAUCCUCUCGGUUCCAGCCCGGCCCCGCGGCUCCCGCACUCGGUGUCCCCGAGGGUUGCCCCGCUGCUCGGACGUGAGCCCGCGCUGCUCGCUCACUCUGUUUCUCUCCCAUCUGUGUCCAUUGUGUUCACAACUGUGUCCUUUCCUUUCGCCCCCCCUCCCCCCGAGUGUCUUCCAACCUGUCUGUUCCCCUCCUUCCCUCUCCCACCCCUCCACCCCGCCUCUGAUCUCCGGGAUAUUUGGUUUCUUUCCCUUUCUCAAUGUGUGUUCCUGAUGUGGUCCUGUCGGAAAAGCUCGUUUACUCUGCUCGGGUCUCCAGUGGUUUAAGGAUAAUGUUUAUCAGAAGUGAACGUGCUCAACUUGUUUCCAUUCAACUGCUGAGUGUGGGCUGAAAUACCAAAGGUCACAUCUACAGUGAGUCGGUAGAGGGCAGGGGGAGCCGAGAGGAAUAUGAAAACAUUGUAAUAUACAACAGCCUGUUGAUCGCUCGUGACCCGCCUGGCAAAAAGAUUUUUUUUUUUUUUUUUUUUUCAGGUAGGAAAUAAUUGAAGAAUUGAAGGGGAAAAGUGGCACGGAG
rnacentral:lncRNA from 1 species